rnacentral:rRNA from 1 species
CGGGGUGCACCAGGCGCGAAAACUUUACAAUGCGAGAAAUCGUGAUAAGGGAACCCCGAGUGCCCGUAAAUUCGGGCUGUUAAUCUGUGUAAAAAGCAGGUGGAGAAAGGGCCGGGCAAGACCGGUGCCAGCCGCCGCGGUAAUACCGGCGGCUCGAGUGGUGGCCACUAUUACUGGGCUUAAAGCGUCCGUAGCUGGAUUGUUAAGUCUCUUGGGAAAUCUACCGGCUUAACCGAUAGGCGUUCAAGGGAUACUGGCGAUCUAGGGACCGGAAGAGGUGAGAGGUACUCCAGGGGUAGGAGUGAAAUCCUGUAAUCCUUGGGGGACCACCUGUGGCGAAGGCGUCUCACCAGAACGGCUCCGACAGUGAGGGACGAAAGCUGGGGGAGCAAACCGGAUUAGAUACCCGGGUAGUCCCAGCUGUAAACGAUGUGCGUUAGGUGUAUCGGUGACCACGAGUCACCGAGGUGCCGAAGAGAAAUCGUGAAACGUACCGCCUGGGAAGUACGGUCGCAAGGCUGAAACUUAAAGGAAUUGGCGGGGGAGCACAAGGGCGAAUCGCG